GAGCAUUUGCCAUAUAUUUUUUUUAACUCUCCACACAUUUGCCUCAUCUGGACACUUAUCGAUCACCUUAAAAAUAGAGUACAUAAACCAUGGCCUUAGAUUUUUAUGAAAAACCCUAGAGACGGUGGAAAUUGAAUUGGAUUCAACAUAAGUCUCGCUUUACAUAUCCAACCAAAUUCAAAGAAGAUAUCUAAAGCAAUUUUGAUUGAAUCAGCUCCCCCCUCAUAGCCAAAAAUAACAAACUUUGUUGCCCAUCAAAAUAAAAAUAAAAC
rnacentral:lncRNA from 1 species